rnacentral:rRNA from 1 species
UACGAAGGGGGGCUAGCGUUGCUCGGAAUCACUGGGCGUAAAGGGUGCGUAGGCGGGUCUUUAAGUCAGGGGUGAAAUCCUGGAGCUCAACUCCGGAACUGCCAUUGAAACUGUUGGACUUGAGUACGAGAGAGGUGAGUGGAAUUCCCAGUGUAGAGGUGAAAUUCGUAGAUAUUCGGAAGAACACCAGUGGCGAAGGCGGCUUACUGGUCCGGUACUGACGCUGAGACGCGAAAGCGUGGGGAGCGAACAGG